rnacentral:rRNA from 1 species
UACAGAGGGUGCAAGCGUUAAUCGGAGUUACUGGGCGUAAAGGGCGCGUAGGCGGUUAUGUAAGUGAGACGUGAAAGCCCCGGGCUUAACCUGGGAAUGUCGUCUUAAACUGCAUGACUGGAGUACUGUAGAGGGUAGUGGAAUUUCCGGUGUAGCGGUGAAAUGCGUAGAGAUCAGGAGGAACACCGGUGGCGAAGGCGGCCUACUGGGCCAGCACUGACGCUGAGGCGCGAAAGCUCGGGGAGCGAACGGG